rnacentral:rRNA from 1 species
GAUGAACGCUAGCGGCAGGCUUAACACAUGCAAGUCGAGGGGUAUAGUAGCAAUACUAGAGACCGGCGCACGGGUGCGUAACGCGUAUGCAAUCUACCUUUCACAGAGGGAUAGCCCAGAGAAAUUUGGAUUAAUACCUCAUAGUAUAGUGUCUUGGCAUCAAGGAACUAUUAAAGUCACAACGGUGAAAGAUGAGCAUGCGUCCCAUUAGUUAGUUGGUAAGGUAACGGCUUACCAAGACUACGAUGGGUAGGGGUCCUGAGAGGGAGAUCCCCCACACUGGUACUGAGACACGGACCAGACUCCUACGGGAGGCAGCAGUGAGGAAUAUUGGACAAUGGGCGCAAGCCUGAUCCAGCCAUGCCGCGUGCAGGAUGACGGUCCUAUGGAUUGUAAACUGCUUUUGUACAGGAAGAAACACCCCGACGUGUCGGGACUUGACGGUACUGUAAGAAUAAGGAUCGGCUAACUCCGUGCCAGCAGCCGCCGCAG